AGAAACCGAAUGGGAAUCUCUUAGUAAUGGCGAAUGAAAAGAGAUGUGCUUAGUGUCAAAAUCAGGUUUCCCUGACUUGUAGGCUGUAGGGGUUAUGCCAACUUGGGUGCAGGUGCAAGUCUCUUGGAAAGGAGCACCAGUGAGGGUCAGGGUCCCGCCUGUCAUCUGUCAUCCCUUGUAGACGGUUUGCCCAUUGAGAGUCGUGUUCUUCUGGAAUAGAGCGCCAAACGGGUGGUACUCUUUGCCUAAGGAGCAUUACGUGCUUGAGACCAAUAGUGAACAAGUACCAUGAGGGAAGGAUGAAAAGGACUUUGGAAAGAGGGUUAAGAGGGCAUGAAGCUGCUGGAAGGGAAGUGGAUUGGACUUUUGUCUGUGGUAAGAUUGCAGGGUGCAGCUCUCACUUGUGAGGUCCUGCGCUCUGUGUCUCUUGCUACUCGGUUGGGCUCUGUGUGGCGCUCAGAAUCUUAGCGUGGAUUGGCUUGAUGGUUGCGGCCUGAUCCAUAUCCUUGCCUACUCUUGGUGCAACAUAAUUGCUUGACCAAAUAGUUCAAUUUUACCCGUCUUGAAACACGGACCAAGGAGUCUAAUGCGUGUGCAAGUGUAAGGGAUUCAAACCUGACAGCUCAACAAAUGUGACUGCUGGGAUUCUUGCACCAGCAACCAACUGAUCGCUUAGGAGAUGUUUGUGUAUGAGCACACUUGCUAGGACCCGAAAGGUGGUGAACUAUGCCUGAGAAGGGUGACGUCAGGGGAAACUCUGAUGGAAGCUCGUAGCGCUACUGACGUGCAAAUCGUUCGUCUGACUUGGGU
rnacentral:rRNA from 1 species